rnacentral:lncRNA from 1 species
GUUUUUAUUUUCUAUUUUCUCCAUGUUACAAUCUUGCGUAGCCCUAAUGCAUAUAUAUAUGCAUAAGCGCCACCGACCCAACUACAACAAUUCUACACGGACUCUUUAACUCUCGUACAGAAAUACUACUAGGACACGCACAUGAACCAAGUCCUAACCGGACUCUCCUAAUCUAAUUACACGGCCACGCUGAUCACCCUAUUAGACUUACUACUAAACCUAACAGCACACGAUGACAAGAAUCCUAACACAACUAGACUCCAACGUGUUUCCAAAACUCAAGAUUAUUUCUAACAUUUUCUCCCUAAUCUUGACACUUUGUCUUCAGUGCUUCUCUGGUCUUGGCUUGUUGAUGAUUCACCCUUUAUCGACUCAUCCGGUCGCACCACGACAAUCAAAUUAUUGACUUGGUUGCUUGCAACAAUCUCUCCUUUAAUUUUGACUUGGCGAAUUUACGGACCAUCUCAAAUAUGUCUUGGACUACCCAGCCUCGUUAGUAAUCUGUGGAAAACCCCACCUGGUGAACUUGAACAUCUACCCUAGCGAGAUACAUGCCGACUCCUCGUGGAUCACACCACUCUGUGGACUACACCUCCCACUCCAGCCUCAUGUAGGGACAUGGCCUCAUUGAAGAGACUCACCUUCACUGGUUUACCGCCCCCACAUAGUUGAACUUGCUCUUCUCGUUGAGACACAUAGACGAUCUAGAUGCGCUUCAUCUUCAACGCCUCCUCACAUAGACGAGCACUUGGACAUGACGACGACUGACACGACAACGACCAACUGACCGACCGACCGUGCUAACCCGCACAACUCCUUGACUCCAACUCCCGAAUGACGAUCUUGACGACUUUCCGGCACCGCAUCACCGCACCACUGUUCCCGUCAACAAUCUCCAUCUGCCACCUUGCCGACGACAGCCCGUCGUCUCCCUCCUUGUUGCUCCAUCGAAUGACGAUCGCAUAAUCCUCCUCGUUGCUGUAGCACUUAGAGAGAAUAUCGCCCGCUCUUCCUCGUCGCUACACAACCCAGCGACCAUAUCGCCCGCCCUGAGGCGCUAAUCGGGUCGCAACCCCGGGGCAAGCGAAGCUUCAAAUCAACCUUGCUCUGAUACCAAUUGUUGGAAUUCCGCCCACACGAUCGAUCACAUCACAGUACGACAAACAUGCACACAAAAAACUUUUAUAGCCAAAGACUCUUGUUAUGCCCUUUGUUUCUCCUCUUUUUAUUUUCUAUUUUCUCCACGUUACAAUCUUGCGUAGCCCUAAUGCAUAUAUAUAUGCAUAAGCGCCAGCGACCCAACUACACCAAAUUCUACACGGACUCUUUGACUCUCGUACAGAAAUACUACUAGGACACGCACAAGAACCAAGUCCUAACCGGACUCUCCUAAUCUAAUUACACGGCCACGCUGAUCACCCUAUUAGACUUACUACUAAAACUAACAGCACACAAUGACAAGAAUCCUAGCAGAACUAGACUCCAACGUGUUUACAAAACUCAAGAUUAUUUCUAACAUUUUCUCCCUAAUCUUGACACUUUGUCUUCAGUGCUUCUCCGGUCUUGGCUUGUUGAUGAUUCACCCUUUGUCGACUUAUCCGCUCGCACCACAACAAGUCAAAUUAUUGGCUUGUUUGCUUGCAAUAAUCUCCCCUUCAAUUUUGACUUGGUGAAUUUACGGACCAUCUCAAAUAUGUCUUGGACUACCCAGCCUCGCCAGUAACCUGUGGAAAACCCCACCCGGUGAACUUGACCAUCUACCCUAGCGAGAUACAUGCCGACUCCUCGUGGAGCACACCACUCUGUGGACCACACCUCCCACUCCAGCCUCAUGUAGGGACAUGGCCUCAUUGAAG